rnacentral:tRNA from 1 species
GCCUAGGUGGCUCAGUGGUUGAGCCUUUGCCUUCAGCUCAGAAAAUUUAUUUAUUUUCAAAUAAAUCCCUGGGCU